UGCAUGGUUCUGCUUUAGACG
rnacentral:piRNA from 1 species